rnacentral:rRNA from 1 species
UACAGAGGGCUCAAGCGUUGUUCGGAUUCAUUGGGCGUAAAGGGUGUGUAGGUGGCGCGCUAAGUCGGGUGUGAAAUUUCGGAGCUUAACUCCGAAACUGCAUUCGAUACUGGCGUGCUUGAGGACUGGAGAGGAGACUGGAAUUCAUGGUGUAGCAGUGAAAUGCGUAGAGAUCGUAAGGAAGACCAGUGGCGAAGGCGGGUCUCUGGACAGCUCCUGACACUGAGGCACGAAGGCCAGGGGAGCAAACGGG